rnacentral:tmRNA from 1 species
GGGGAUGACUGGUUUUGACAGCGUGUAGAGGUGGUGAGUAAGCAUGCAGAGCAAUGGUGGCUACGCUCUAUAAUCUGGGACACCGCAAUUUUAAAUGGCGAAAACAACUACGCUCUCGCUGCUUAAUCGAAGUACAGUAAAUUAAGCUUUAUCCGCGCCAAAGUGGCGCAGACGAGACAUCGCCCGAUUGUCAUUUUCCCGAGACUAAUCGACAAGGCGGUGCAGAUAAAUCGGGAAUGGGAGGCCGGAUGUUCCGCGAAGCCUCCGAGAUAACAGGAACUAAGCGCGGGGUUGGCAGUCUUCAGCCUGUCCCACGUCGAAAACCAACAGAAGACUAAGCAUGUAGAAAGCUCAUUAGUUCCACGUUUGGACGAGGGUUCAAACCCCUCCAUCUCCACU